rnacentral:lncRNA from 1 species
GAGGAUUGAACCCAGGGCAUCACACAUGCUAGGCAAGCAUUCUACCACUGAGCCACAACCCCAGCCCUAUUUGUAUUCUUAAUAGCUGCCAUUCUGACUGGGGUGAGAUGAAAUCUUAGAGUAGUUUUGAUUUUCAUUUCUCUAAUUGCUAGAGAUGUUGAACAUUUUUCAUAUAUUUGUUGAUUGAUUGUAUAUCUUCUUCUGAGAAAUGUCUGUUCAGGUCCUUGACCCAUUUAUUGGUUGGGUUUUUUUUUUUUUUGGUGCUUAGCUUUUUGAAUUCUUCAUAUAUCCUAGAGAUUAAUUAGGGCUCUAUCUGAUGUGUGAGGGGUAAAGAUUUGCUCCCAAUAUGUAGGCUCUCUAUUCACCUCACAGAUUGUUUCUUUUGCUUUGAGUUGUUUUUUUUUUGAUUUUAGUUUGAGUCCAUCCCAUUUAUUGAUUCUUGAUUUUAACUCUUGCACCAUAGGAGUUUUAUUAAGGAAGUUGGGGCCUAAUUCCAUAUGAUGGAGAUUAGGGCCUACCUUUUCUUCUAUUAGACAUAGGGUCUGUGGUUUUAUUCCUAAGUCCUUGAUCCAUUUUGAGUUGAGUUUUGUGCAUGGUGAGAGACAGGGGUUUAAUUUCAUUUUGUUAUAUAGGGAUUUCCAGUUUUCCCAGCACCAUUUGUCGAAGAGGCUGUCUUUUCUCCAGUGCAUGUUUUUGGCACCUUUGUCUAAUAUAAGAUAAUUGUUAUUUUGUGGGUUAGUCUCUGUGUCCUCUAUUCUGUACCACUGGUCAAUAUCAUGCUGUUUUUGUUAUUAUUGCUCUGUAGUAUAGUUUAAGGUCUGGUAUAGUGAUGCUACCUGCUUCACUCUUCCUGUUAAGGAUAGCUUUAGCUAUUCUGGGUCUCUUUAUUUUUCCAGAUGAAUUUCAUGAUUGCCUCUUCUAUUUAUAUGAGGAAUGCCAUUGGGAUUUUGAUUUGAAUUGCAUUAAAUCUGUAUACUGCUUUUGGUAGUAUAGUCAAUUUGAUAAUAUUAAUUCUGCCUAUCCAAGAGCAAGAUAGAUCUUUCCAUCUUCUAAGAUCUUCUUUAAUUUCUUUCAUUAGGGUUCUUUAGUUUUUGUUGUAGAGGUCUUUUACCUUUUUCAUUAAGUUGAUU